AAAAAAAUUAAUUCCCUCCUGGAUUCUUGUCUCCCCCCAGAUUUAUUAUUUUUUUUUUUCUAAAAGGGGAUCCCCCUUUACCUAAAUUCACGUCCCCAUCUCAUCCAUCUCAACCUCCAUUCCCCCUCUUAACCCUAAAUCGGCCCACAUCCCCAAUAUCGUUUCAUCGAUUUCCUGCUUUUAUAUAACCGCUAAGGAUGAGGGCCAGCAAGAGGAACCGCAAUUGUGAUGAUCAAUGGUGGUUCUCUACGAUGAUUCUCGAUUCGUCUACCGCCGUUAUUUUGAAGCAAAUUACCAGAAGUACAAAAGUUCUUGAAUGCAUCAGCAUGUUCAUGGUAUCAGCAGGUGAUUGGAACCUGCUGGUACUCAUUCUCUGUAGAUUGGGCUGAAAUAGGAAUUUCAAAAGAUCAGCCCUAUCUUUCCAAAAAUAGGUUUGAUUAAUUGGGUUAGAUUGGACGUGAAGGAACGAAGAUAGUGACAAAGCUUGAAACCAAGGUUAGAUUUUGUCAUAAUAUUAACAGGAUACUUUUUUUAAUCUUAUUUUAGGUAUGCAUUUAUCUUAAGUUUUACCCAGACAAUACUAUAUUGGUUUACCGGUUAUUUAGAUAUGGAUGUUGCUCUUGUUAAUUAUUAGAUAACGUAAUCUAAAAUCAUGUUGGUCUCUUAAGGUUAA